ensembl:misc_RNA Metazoa_SRP Metazoan signal recognition particle RNA
GCUGGGUGCAUGCACCUGUAGUCCCGGCUACUUGGGAGGCUGAGGUGAGAGGAUCACUUGAGCCCAGGAGGUCAGGGCUGCAGUGAGCUGUGAUCACACCAUUGCAUUCCAGCCUGGGCAACAGAGUGAGACCCUAUCUCAA